UACGUAGGUUGCGAGCGUUGUCCGGAAUCACCGGGCGUAAAGCGCACGCAGGCGGCCUCGAAAGCCCAUGGUGAAAGCCCUCGGCCCAACCGAGGGAUGCCCAUGGGAACUCCGGGGCUCAGAAGACGGGAGAGGCGGAUGGAAUUUCCGGUGUAGCGGUAAAAUGCGUAGAUACCGGAAGGAACACCAGUGGCGAAAGCGAUCCGCUGGCCCGCUCUUGACGCUCAGGUGCGAAAGCUAGGGUAGCGACCGGG
rnacentral:misc_RNA from 1 species